CUGUCUGAAAAGACUAUCUUUUUUGACUCUCUCAUCUCUGGAUUGCAGAUCUCUAUGGAUGGUGAAACAUUUGAGCUACAGAAGCUUUUAAAGUGUAUGAAGAAACGAUUAAGUACAUUAUGAAAGCAUUGAGGCCAAAGGAUCUGAGCCAGCUCUUUGCAUACCCAGCUCUAAUGGACCUGCUAUUUACCCAGAAUUGAAUGGAGCUGCUGUGCAAGGCCUGAACUGCAGAGGGUGGGAGCAGGAGCAUCCUCUGACAGCCCCAGGAACCCCCCCCCCUCCUGCCCUGCCAUCACCCCCUGCACACGCAGGGUUUGACUCUCCUGGGCAGUUUUGGCUGUAAGAAGAGAAGUUUCUGUCAGCCCUGCUGGCUGUGACAGGACCAGGGAGGAGCUGCACGGGCGUGUCCAGGAAGGUAAUUUUUCAGUGUGAACACUUUGUCAUUGGCUCGCUGCUUUUUGUCUUCCCACAGA
rnacentral:lncRNA from 1 species